AACGAACGCUGGCGGCAUGCCUAACACAUGCAAGUCGAACGAGACCUUCGGGUCUAGUGGCGCACGGGUGCGUAACGCGUGGGAACCUGCCCUUAGGUUCGGAAUAACUCCCCGAAAGGGGUGCUAAUACCGGAUCAUGUCUUCGGACCAAAGAUUUAUCGCCUUUGGAUGGGCCCGCGUUGGAUUAGCUAGUUGGUAGGGUAAAAGCCUACCAAGGCGACGAUCCAUAGCUGGUCUGAGAGGAUGAUCAGCCACACUGGGACUGAGACACGGCCCAGACUCCUACGGGAGGCAGCAGUGGGGAAUAUUGGACAAUGGGCGAAAGCCUGAUCCAGCAAUGCCGCGUGAGUGAUGAAGGCCUUAGGGUUGUAAAGCUCUUUUACCCGGGAUGAUAAUGACAGUACCGGGAGAAUAAGCACCGGCUAACUCCGUG
rnacentral:rRNA from 1 species